CCUACGGGGGGCAGCAGUGAGGAAUAUUGGUCAAUGGACGAGAGUCUGAACCAGCCAAGUAGCGUGAAGGAUGACUGCCCUAUGGGUUGUAAACUUCUUUUAUAUGGGAAUAAAACGUUCCACGUGUGUGAUUUUGUAUGUACCAUAUGAAUAAGGAUCGGCUAACUUCGUGCCAUCAGCCGCGGUAAUACGGAGGAUCCGAGCGUGAUCCGGAUUUAUUGGGUUUAAAGGGAGCGUAGGUGGAUUGUUAAGUCAGUUGUGAAAGUUUGCGGCUCAACCGUAAAAUUGCAGUUGAAACUGGCAGUCUUGAGUACAGUAGAGGUGGGCGGAAUUCGUGGUGUAGCGGUGAAAUGCUUAGAUAUCACGAAGAACUCCGAUUGCGAAGGCAGCCUACUAAACUGCCACUGACAUUGAUGCUCGAAAGUGUGGGUAUCAAACAGGAUUAGAUACCCCAGUAGUC
rnacentral:rRNA from 1 species